GGUCUGGCAGCUGUAUGCAGGAUGGGAGCAUGGGAAUUCCCACUGGAGAGAACAGAAGGUGGAAUGGGCAGCAUGGGAAACCUGGGCUGCUGGGGAGGACCAACAGAUGCUGCAGAUACUUGGCGUUGGAGGUGCUUGGGCUCCACAUCGUCCAUCCCAGCCCCCAAGAAAGGGGGUCACUGGGAGGUGGGGGACAGCUGGAACCCCCCUCCCCAAAGAGAAAAUAGCAGAGAGAUUCCAGCCUGGGACCAGACACCUUUCCCCACGAGCCAUCCAGGUGCUCCAUGGGCUGGAGCCACAUCAGACACGGAGGAACAUCUUCAUGUUUUUGGCUGAGAACAACCGGCGGCGGCAGGAGCAGCAGAGGCAGUUCUGCAGGUAACUCCAUAGGAAUGGAUUUUCCCAUGUUCCUCUGCUGAAGAAGCCCCGGGGACGGCGGGAUCUGGAGGCUGCCUGUGGGCUGGACUCCCCUGGCACCCACCUGGACACCUAACAUCGGCUUCCCAUGCGGGACAGAAAGUCCUGGCUGAAGACAGAGGGACCUUGAUGGCAGGCCAUCCCCUUCCCAAACCUGAGAGCAUGUCCUUCCCUGGCAGAGUCCUACCCCACAACACCUUGUCCUGAGUGGGGACACCUGUAUGAGACACCCAAGGUCUCAGGCCAACCUGGCUUUGGCUCAGCUGCACCAGGGGGGUGCAUCAGGGACCUUCUCAUGGGCUGGGAAAUCACCAGAGGCAUCUCCAUGGACACCUUAAUGUGAGCUGAUCUCAGGUGGCCUGAGCCAAUCCUACAGAAAUUCUCUGCCUUCUGCCUGCCUGUUUGAUCGGAUGCCUCUCUUUCUCUCUCUUCCUCUCACCU